AUUGAACGCUGGCGGCAUGCUUUACACAUGCAAGUCGAACGGUAACAGGCCGCAAGGUGCUGACGAGUGGCGAACGGGUGAGUAAUGCAUCGGAACGUGCCCAGUCGUGGGGGAUAACUACUCGCAAGAGUAGCUAAUACCGCAUACGAUCUAUGGAUGAAAGCGGGGGACCGUAAGGCCUCGCGCGAUUGGAGCGGCCGGUGUCAGAUUAGGUAGCUGGUGAGGUAAAGGCUCACCAAGCCAACGAUCUGUAGCUGGUCUGAGAGGACAACCAGCCACACUGGAACUGAGACACGGCCCAGACUCCUACGGGAGGCAGCAGUGGGGAAUUUUGGGCAAUGGGCGCAAGCCCGAUCCAGCAAUGCCGCGUGCAGGAAGAAGGCCUUCGGGUUGUAAACUGCUUUUGUACGGAACGAAACGGCUCUGGUUAAUACCCGGGGCUAAUGACGGUACCGUAAGAAUAAGCACCGGCUAACUACGUG
rnacentral:rRNA from 1 species